AUAAUAUAAGAUUUGACCUGCCCACUGAAUAAUUAAAUGGCCGCGGUAUUUUGACCGUGCAAAGGUAGCAUAAUAAUUAGUUUUUUGAUUGAAAGCUGGAAUGAAUGGUUGGACGAGAAAAUUACUGUCUCUUAUUAAUUUUAAAUAAAACUUUAUUUUUAAGUUAAAAAGCUUAAAUUCUGUUGAAAGACGAGAAGACCCUAUAGAGUUUUAUAAUUUAUUAGAAAUUUAGCAUUAAGUAUUUAAUUUUCGUUUUUUUAAAAUUAUUUUAUUGGGGUGAUAAAAAGAUUAAAUUAACUCUUUUUUUAUUUAUACAUUUUUAAAUGAUUGAUUGAUCCAUUUUUUAUGAUUAUAAGAAUAAAUUACCUUAGGGAUAACAGCGUAAUCUUUUUGGAGAGUUCUUAUCGAAACAAGGGAUUGCGACCUCGAUGUUGGAUUAAAAUUAAUUUUUGGUGUAGAAGCUAAAAUAUUGAGUCUGUUCGACUUUUAAAAUUUUACAUGAUCUGAGUUUAAACCGGUGUGAGCCAGGUUGGUUUCUAUCUUCAUUAAGAUAAAAUAUUUUAGUACGAAAGGACCAA
rnacentral:rRNA from 1 species